rnacentral:rRNA from 1 species
AUUGAACGCUGGCGGCAGGCCUAACACAUGCAAGUCGAGCGAGCGGCGGACGGGUGAGGAAUGUAUGGGGACUGCUCGAGAGAGGGGGAGAACGACAGGAAACGGUGGCAAAUACCGCAUACUGUAGGAUAACACAUGUGGGAUUAGCUAGUGGGUAAGGUAAUGGCUUACCAAGGCGACGAUCCCUAGCUGGUCUGAGAGGAUGAUCAGCCACACUGGGACUGAGACACGGCCCAGACUCCUACGGAGGCAGCAGUGGGGAAUAUUGCACAAUGGGCGCAAGCCUGAUGCAGCCAUGCCGCGUGUAUGAAGAAGGCCCUCGGGUUGUAAAGUACUUUCAGUCGGGAGGCGUUACCGACAGAAGAAGCACCGGCUAACUCCGUGCCAGCAGCCGCGGUAAUUC